rnacentral:rRNA from 1 species
GAUGAACGCUGGCGGCGUGCCUAAUACAUGCAAGUCGAACGCUGGAAAUCUAGCUUGCUAGAUUGAAGGAGUGGCGAACGGGUGAGUAAUACAUAAGCAACCUACCCACGAAGACUGGGAUAAUCUCUGGAAACGGGGACUAAUACCGGAUAGGUAAUCGGAAGGCAUCUUCUGAUUAUUAAUGGUUACAAACACUGGUUGAUGGGCUUAUGGCUCAUUAGUUAGUUGGUGAGGUAACGGCCCACCAAGACGAUGAUGCGUAGCCGGCCUGAGAGGGUGAACGGCCACAAUGGGACUGAGACACGGCCCAGACGCCUACGGGAGGCAGCAGUAGGGAAUUUACGGCAAUGGGGGAAAACCUGACCGAGCAACGCCGCGUGAGUGAUGACGGCCUUCGGGGUGUAAAGCUCUGUUGUAAGGGAAGAACGGUAGAUAGAGAAUAUCUAAAUGACGGUACCUUACCAGAAAGCCACGGCUAACUACGUG